rnacentral:rRNA from 1 species
AGAACGAACGCUGGCGGCAGGCCUAACACAUGCAAGUCGAACGCCGUAGCAAUACGGAGUGGCAGACGGGUGAGUAACGCGUGGGAACAUACCCUUCGGUUCGGAAUAACUCAGGGAAACUUGAGCUAAUACCGGAUACGUCCGAGGUUUUAAUCGACCUUGGAGAAAGAUUUAUCGCCGGAGGAUUGGCCCGCGUCUGAUUAGCUUGUUGGUGAGGUAAUGGCUCACCAAGGCGACGAUCAGUAGCUGGUCUGAGAGGAUGAUCAGCCACAUUGGGACUGAGACACGGCCCAAACUCCUACGGGAGGCAGCAGUGGGGAAUAUUGGACAAUGGGCGAAAGCCUGAUCCAGCCAUGCCGCGUGAGUGAUGAAGGCCUUAGGGUUGUAAAGCUCUUUUACCGGGAAGAUAAUGACGGUACCGGGAGAAUAACGCCCGGCUAACUUCGUGCCAGCAGCCGC